UACGGAGGGAGCUAGCGUUGUUCGGAAUUACUGGGCGUAAAGCGCGCGUAGGCGGCUUUGUAAGUUAGAGGUGAAAGCCUGGAGCUCAACUUCAGAAUUGCCUUUAAGACUGCAUCGCUAGAAUCCAGGAGAGGUGAGUGGAAUUCCGAGUGUAGAGGUGAAAUUCGUAGAUAUUCGGAAGAACACCAGUGGCGAAGGCGGCUCACUGGACCGGUAUUGACGCUGAGGUGCGAAAGCGUGGGGAGCAAACAGG
rnacentral:rRNA from 1 species